rnacentral:lncRNA from 1 species
ACAAACACCCCGACUCGCCGGUGGCAUCUCUCCCACUUUCAACGUAGUAUCGCACUCUCCCGGAAAGUACUUAUCACGGAAAAAGUCACCGAGAGCCGCUUAAUCCCGUUAGAGAAAAGCCGAUCCCCAGCCGAGCCCGGCUGUUCGCGCCGCCCAGGUGCGCGGCGGGCGCGGGACCGGCCUGGGGGGACCCCGCGGGGGCGCGGCGGGUCCGGCUCCCGCGGACAAAGGCGGCAAAGCGCGCCCGGGGCGCGCAGGCGAGAGAGCGAUAAAUCGCGAAGCACACAAAGGAACGAGGAGGAGAAGCCGGGCAGCUCGUGGCCGCAGCGCGGCCCCCGGGGCGGGGAGAGGAGGCACCGGCCGCGGGGGACAGGGGGUGCCGAGGGGCACCGCACCUGCCCGGGGGGAGGGAGGCGGCGGGGGGCCCGGGUUCGGGGCGGGGAUAUAUUGAGGGGAUGGAUACUCGCCUGCUCGCGAAGGGAUUCUGGCAGCGGGAGCAGAGGUCCCAGAGGCGCCCCGGCGCUGGGACUGCGCUUUGCCCUGCCCCGCCGCCCCGGAGCGGGCAGUGACGGGGGCGUCGAGUCCGAGCGCUGGGUCUGGGGCCGGGGCCGAGGCUGGGGCUGGGUCCGGGUCCGCUGUGGCCGCUCCCGCCGAGUCAGGCGAUUUCCUGCGGGGCGCGGGCGGGGGCGGUGCGGCCACGCCGGGGCGGGCUCCCGCCGCAGGUGCCGGCCUCGCCCCCAGGUGGGGAGGAGAGGGGAAGGAUGGGGAGGGCAGGGAACGACAGGGGUGGGGCGCUGGCGGCGACCGGACGGGGCGGGCGGCGUGCCCCCACCUGCGGCUGCUGCCCCUCUAGAGCAGGGGUGCCUUCGCCCGCUCCCCCGGGCCACGCCCGCACACACCAACACCCGCGGCGGCGGCAGGGGAACAGGAAAUACCGGUCGCAGCCCGGUGCUCCACGCCGCUGAGUCACCGCGGCGAGGCCGCCCCGCCCCCCAGCUUUUCUCUGCCCGUCCCGUAUCCCGGCAGGGGACCCCGGCUCUGGCCCUGGGUCUGGCCCCCGGCUCUGCCCGAGGCAGCCCGCGCCGGGCCCGGGCUGCAGAGCGGAGCCCUGUCGCCGCUGGCACGGCGCACCGUCACCAGCGCAGCGCUUGGGUGUGUUUUCCGUUUACAUCAAUGUUUUGUUUGGAACUUGGGAUCGUUGCCCUUCUGAACCUUUCUAACGGGAAGACCUCUGAGACAGCGCAGUUGUUCCACGGACGCCUCUCAAUCUGUUUCUCCCUGCCCUUUAUCAGAGAAUAA